rnacentral:sRNA from 1 species
UGGUCCCUCGGUCCGUGUCCCGCCCGUGCUGCCGCGGCCUGGGAGCCCAGCGGGGCCGGAGGGACGGCCGGACCCAGUGUAUGCGGCCGCGGGACGCGCUGGGGCCGGGCAGCCGGGAAGCGGGGCGCUGACGGCUGGUGGGGGAGCUGCCCCCCAGAGCAGCAUGGAUGCCCCGCGAAGGGACAUGGAGUUGCUCAGCAACAGCCUGGCUGCCUACGCGCACAUCCGCGCCAACCCCGAGAGCUUCGGCCUCUACUUCGUGCUGGGCGUCUGCUUCGGCCUGCUGCUCACCCUCUGCCUGCUCGUCAUCAGCAUCUCGUGGGCGCCCCGCCCGCGGCCCCGGGGCCCGGCUCAGCGCCGGGACCCCCGCAGCAGCACCCUGGAGCCCGAGGACGACGACGAGGACGAGGAGGACACGGUGACUCGGCUGGGCCCCGACGACACGCUGCCGGGCCCCGAGCUGUCCGCAGAGCCGGACGGGCCCCUCAGCGUCAACGUCUUCACGUCGGCGGAGGAGCUAGAGCGGGCGCAGCGGCUGGAGGAGCGCGAACGGAUCCUGCGGGAGAUCUGGCGCACCGGACAGCCGGACCUGCUGGGCACAGGCACGCUGGGGCCCAGCCCCACGGCCACGGGCGCGGGCACCCUGAGCCGCAUGCACUAUUACUGAUGGGCCCCGGCUCC